CGGUUGUGGAUGCUUUCUGUGUGUGAUGAUAGACCUGCUCAUCCUUUACAUCUAGCUGCAAUAAAGUAGCCUUCCAACAUCUCUUGUUGACCUUUAGUACCUUAACGAAUUGCCCUGAUAGGCGGCAGUUGUCUAAAGAUCUUACUGGUCACAGUUUUUCUCUGCAGAGGAUCGGAUCCUCUUUCAAAGGCCGAUAACAGAACAUCACCAGAAGGCUGACGAGUCACAGUGAUACACUUGGGGGCCCUAUUCAUGUCUGCAGCCCCCGCGACACACACUGGGUCCAUUGUGGCGAGGAAUGUCUCCUUUCAUGGCCUGAACCCGCCUGUGAAAGCAUGUCAAUAAUCCCCAGGCAGUGGGUGCUUCACAAUGCCGCCGCGACCGCCCCACCAAACGGGCCGCGCUGAAAACGACGGGCCCCUUUUUGCACUCGUCCAAGGAAUAAAAAAUGACGCGGAUGCCUGAAUGAGCGGACGGUUGAAUGGACGGAGUAAUUAAUCUGAUGGAUGCUGAUAAUCAAACAACUUCACAAAGCCGGCUGUUCUUAAGAUGCCCUUUACCUCCUUCAAGUGGCGGGAGGCCUCCGACAACCCACGACAGUUUC
ensembl:lncRNA